CAAGACUUUUUUUUUUUAAUCAAUUUUUAUUUUUUUCAGGAGCUUACGUUCCAAUAACACAUAAAGACCAGACCGAGUGGAUGGAAGAUAAUGCCAAAGGGAAGGAACUGGGGCCAAGGUCUGCAAAGAUCUUUAGGAAAUGGGAUUCGAGGACUUUUCACUUAAGGUCAACAAAAGGAAGUAGUGACUCUCUAGGACUUAUUGUCAGAUAAUGGAGUUCAUCUGCUACUUGCAUGUAGUAAAUUCAUUCAGCAGCUACUGAAAUGAAGCUCAUGUAAAAAUGACAGGGUGUGUCCUCUUGACCGAAACAAGCUAUGUGAGCCAGACCACUGAAUGGAAAGAGUUCAGAUGUUGCUUUGAGUGACUGAUGCUUGCAAAAACAGGUUUUGGUUUUAGAUGAAGUUUAUUUCUUAAUGUCUGGUAGAAAGGAAAUCAGGAAUGGUAAUGUCUUACUGAUGAAGAAAAACAAGGUAACUUGAAUUAUCCUAACAUUGUUUCUUUUGAGUGUCAUUACUUUUAAGAUAUAAUAAAAUUUUUAUUUAAAAUCUUAGGUCCUGGGUUUUUCUCUUUUAUGAAGCCAUAUAAAAUUUUGAACAAUGUCAAAGAAAAACUACACCAUUAUAUUUCUUUAAUAUAUUUUAUUCUGGAAAUAAAUCUUACCAAAUUGAUUGGGAAAGUUGUUAAUUCAUAAAUAACAUGAGAUUAGAAGCUAUACUUCUCCAGUAGAUGGGGCUUUUCAAAACAUAAAACCAUCUUAUUCUUUUUGUCAUGCUUUAAAGGGUACUAAAAAUGAUGGGGAAUUUUAAAUAGGCUUAUUUCAAGUGUGAUAAAGAUUCGGUGGUGAGAUUAGAACAUAGACAAGUUGAAAUACAUGGCAUUAAUUUCAGUACUAUACAAACAUUCUAGUUUCAUUAAUGCAGGACAGUUUUAUCAUUUGAUUCAUAUAACAGUUUUAUAACUAAUACACAUGCAGAACUUAAAAGUUGACUACCAAGUUUUUUAAUUUACUAAUGGAAACCUGAAACAUGAUUAAUAGGAAUAAAGCUGGUUAGGGUAGAGUUUACUGACAGUCAAGCAUCAAAGUGGUGGUGAGAAUAGUAGAUUUGUGAUUUCCAACUUGGUCAUUUUCCUUUAUGGUGAAGCAGACCUCUUGCAGACAAUAUUUAGCCUUUCAUAAAUGAAUAAUUGUUUAACCACUUUAUAUGCUCUGCUGUUAAGUGUUUGUUGCUUUUCGAUUCCUCUCAUCCUUUCUUGCUCCAGAAAUUCCCAUAUCCGCACUGCUGGUUCCACAUUACUGACUUGAGAAAAGCUAUAUUCAGCCCUCACAUGAGAGGACACCACCUGCAAUAUGUCCCCAUCAGAUAGGACUGUGGGUGUUCUCUUUCUGCAAUAUGUUGUUUCUUUGUCAAACAACUUACUAGGCUUCUAUCAGGUUCAGCAAAUAUUAAACAGCAUGAUCUUGUGCUAAAAUUCCAGUUCCCCUAAUUCUUUCCAUGAGAAGGAAAACAACUCCAAAAUAACUUAACAGUUUAGUCUACUUAACAAUGUUGAGUUCAGAGAAGAAUUCAAGGGCUGGGGUGGUGAGGGAAGGCAUCCUACAGGGCUGGUCCUCAAGGUGGGGAGCAGAAAGGGUGUGCAGCUGGUGCUUGAAUCCCCUGUGCUAAAGUGAGAAAAGGUGAAAGCUGGAAUCAGCUCUGGGUUCAGGUCCUGGCUUCAAGAGUUUCUGAUCUGUGUGACCUUGGAGAACUGGCUUGACCUCAUGGUCUGUAAAAAACAAUCGGACAGUGCUUAUGUGACAAAGCUUUGUAAAUGUGAGCUACUGCUACAAACCAUGGCCUGCAAGUGGGAAUGUGCAGCAUAUGUUGAUGCAGAAUGUAGGAACUAAACUAAACCGUGAAGUUAGACUUAACCUCUUGGCAGUGAGAGAUAUACGGAACCUAUAAAGCCUUUUGAGCAGAAAUAAUUUGACACACUUAUUCUGAUCAGCUUCACAGAAUGAAGGGUAGAUCGAAUCGGGUGAAACAGGACAGAAGCUCCCAUAGCAAUUCCUGCAAUAAAGCCCUGAAGGAGGGUUACUGCACAGGAGCCAAGGGAAAGAGCAGCCAAAUACAAGAGCAUCUACAUAAACUAUCCAGUUUGGCCAAAAAAAAAAGGAAGGAAUCUCAAUGUAUGGCUGAUUUACUAUGGCUUAUUUUAUAUGUACUCAUGGAAGUAUAUAUGAGUGAGCCCACUUUUAUAAAUUCAGUUAUGAUGUGUAGUGUGACAAGUUUUAUCCAAAGGUCAGGUGAUGCACCCCAGAUUAAGCUCUUCAGACUUUCCAACUACCUAGAUUACCAAGUUUUCCCUACUUGCUCAUUUGUCUCUUUGAUUCUCUGCCUCUCACCCAUAAGUCUUAGUUUUCCUUCUCCUUUUUCAAAAGAUUGGGACCCAGUCACUGCUCCUUGAAUGUUUAUGCAAUAACCAUAUAAUUUGAUAUUUCUGCUUCCCCUGUGACACUCUUCCUAACCAAAUCCCCAUACACAAGGAUCUCUCCAAAUUGAACAAGAAAGCAUUGUGUUAG